rnacentral:rRNA from 1 species
GACGAACGCUGGCGGCGUGCCUAAUACAUGCAAGUAGAACGCUGAAGGAGGGGCUUGCUUCUCUGGAUGGGUUGCGAACGGGUGAGUAACGCGUAGGUAACCUGCCUGGUAGCGGGGGAUAACUAUUGGAAACGAUAGCUAAUACCGCAUAAGAGUAGAUGUUGCAUGACAUUUGCUUAAAAGAUGCAAUUGCAUCACUACCAGAUGGACCUUCGUUGUAUUAGCUAGUUGGUGGGGUAACGGCUCACCAAGGCGACGAUACAUAGCCGACCUGAGAGGGGGAUCGGCCAAACUGGGACUGAGACACGGCCCAGACUCCUACGGGAGGCAGCAGUAGGGAAUCUUCGGCAAUGGACGGAAGUCUGACCGAGCAACGCCGCGUGAGUGAAGAAGGUUUUCGGAUCGUAAAGCUCUGUUGUAAGAGAAGAACGAGUGUGAGAGUGGAAAGUUCACACUGUGACGGUAUCUUACCAGAAAGGGACGGCUAACUACGUG